rnacentral:rRNA from 1 species
GAUGAACGCUGGCGGCGUGCCUAAUACAUGCAAGUCGAGCGAACGGACGAGAAGCUUGCUUCUCUGAUGUUAGCGGCGGACGGGUGAGUAACACGUGGAUAACCUACCUAUAAGACUGGGAUAACUUCGGGAAACCGGAGCUAAUACCGGAUAAUAUUUUGAACCGCAUGGUUCAAAAGUGAAAGACGGUCUUGCUGUCACUUAUAGAUGGAUCCGCGCUGCAUUAGCUAGUUGGUAAGGUAACGGCUUACCAAGGCAACGAUGCAUAGCCGACCUGAGAGGGUGAUCGGCCACACUGGAACUGAGACACGGUCCAGACUCCUACGGGAGGCAGCAGUAGGGAAUCUUCCGCAAUGGGCGAAAGCCUGACGGAGCAACGCCGCGUGAGUGAUGAAGGUCUUCGGAUCGUAAAACUCUGUUAUUAGGGAAGAACAUAUGUGUAAGUAACUGUGCACAUCUUGACGGUACCUAAUCAGAAAGCCACGGCUAACUACGUGCCAGCAGCCGCGGUAAUACGUAGGUGGCAAGCGUUAUCCGGAAUUAUUGGGCGUAAAGCGCGCGUAGGCGGUUUUUUAAGUCUGAUGUGAAAGCCCACGGCUCAACCGUGGAGGGUCAUUGGAAACUGGAAAACUUGAGUGCAGAAGAGGAAAGUGGAAUUCCAUGUGUAGCGGUGAAAUGCGCAGAGAUAUGGAGGAACACCAGUGGCGAAGGCGACUUUCUGGUCUGUAACUGACGCUGAUGUGCGAAAGCGUGGGGAUCAAACAGGAUUAGAUACCCUGGUAGUCCACGCCGUAAACGAUGAGUGCUAAGUGUUAGGGGGUUUCCGCCCCUUAGUGCUGCAGCUAACGCAUUAAGCACUCCGCCUGGGGAGUACGACCGCAAGGUUGAAACUCAAAGGAAUUGACGGGGACCCGCACAAGCGGUGGAGCAUGUGGUUUAAUUCGAAGCAACGCGAAGAGCCUUACCAAAUCUUGACAUCCUUUGACAACUCUAGAGAUAGAGCCUUCCCCUUCGGGGGGGCAAAGUGACAGGUGGUGCAUGGUUGUCGUCAGCUCGUGUCGUGAGAUGUUGGGUUAAGUCCCGCAACGAGCGCAACCCUUAAGCUUAGUUGCCAUCAUUAAGUUGGGCACUCUAAGUUGACUGCCGGUGACAAACCGGAGGAAGGUGGGGAUGACGUCAAAUCAUCAUGCCCCUUAUGAUUUGGGCUACACACGUGCUACAAUGGACAAUACAAAGGGCAGCGAAACCGCGAGGUCAAGCAAAUCCCAUAAAGUUGUUCUCAGUUCGGAUUGUAGUCUGCAACUCGACUACAUGAAGCUGGAAUCGCUAGUAAUCGUAGAUCAGCAUGCUACGGUGAAUACGUUCCCGGGUCU